rnacentral:tmRNA from 1 species
UUAAUAAAUUUGAAUUUAUUAUCAGGGGGCUGUUUUGGUUUCGACAUUUAGAAAUAAGUAAUAUAUGAUACAGGUCGAAGUUUAUAGCCUUCGUAAAAACUAUACAAUUUUAUAAUAACUGCAAAUAAUAUUUUCUCUUUCAAUCGUAAAUUUGCGAUUGCUUAAAAAUUAAAUUUUUAAUUGUUCAUAAAAAAUUUUAUCCCUAUAACUAGAUUUUUAAAGUCAUUAUAGUUUAGAAUAAUAUUGAUUACUUAACUGUUCCAUAAAACGAACUAAACCUGUGAACGAGUAUAUUAAUUAAAUCUAAAUGGACGUGGGUUCAAUUCCCAUCAGCUCCA